UUCCUUAUCCUCUCUCUCUCCCUAUAUCUAUCUCUAUCUCUCUCCACAGUUGCAGAAGAAACACAUAGAAUGUGAAAAGAAUUCCAGCUAGGGAAAGAAAGUUUAAUUCUAUCUCUAUGUUAUAAAGAGUGAGAAAAAGAGAGACAGACCCACAAAGAUUAAAUUAAAGAUCCAUGAUCAGUACCAUUUCUCAAUACACUAAAAAAGAAACAAAAGAUCAAGAGGAGAGAGAAAGAUAUACAAAGAC
rnacentral:lncRNA from 1 species